rnacentral:rRNA from 1 species
UACAGGGGGCGCGAGCGUUGCUCGGAAUUACUGGGCGUAAAGGGCUCGUAGGCGGCCAACUAAGUCCGACGUGAAAUCCCAAAGCUUAACUUUGGAACUGCGUCGGAUACUGGAUGGCUUGAAUUCGGGAGAGGGAUGCAGAAUUCCAGGUGUAGCGGUGAAAUGCGUAGAUAUCUGGAGGAAUACCGGUGGCGAAGGCGGCAUCCUGGACCGACAUUGACGCUGAGGAGCGAAAGCUAGGGGAGCAAACGGG